UUUUACUCCAGCAGGGUUUUUGCUCAGAGAGUCACUUUGCAUCGGCUCAUGCUUCAGCGCUCCGAGUGUUUAUAGCGUUCAGACUCAAACACUUUAUAACACACUGCUGUUUACCACGGUACAAACCCAACAAACACCAUGAAUCUCUUCAGCAGCUUCAUCUGGAUUCUGGCAGCUUUUAUUCCAGCAUCCAGAGGAAUCACUGUGACUCAGCCUGAAGCUGUGACUGUUUCUGAAGGACAAAACGCCAAAAUAGAGUGUAAAACUGAUACUGGGAUAGAUGGCUCGGCUUUAGCUUGGUAUCAGCAGAAACAUGGAGAAGCUCCUAAACUCAUUAUUUAUUGGGUAGAUGAGCUUUAUGAUGAGAGUUUAAGUCGAUUCAGUGGCAGUGGAUCUAACAGUGAUUUCACUCUGACCAUCAGUGGAGUCCAGACUGAAGAUGCUGGACAUUAUUACUGUCAGAGUGUACAUGAAGUCAACAGUGACUAUGUGUUCACACAGUGAUAAAGAGUCGUACAAAAACCUCCGUCAGUCAGAGUCACAGUGACUGAACUGAUACUGCAGCUGCUCACACACUUUCACACACUUUCACACACACUCAACAGCAGAAACACAAAUAUGAUCUUAAUAUCAGCUUUGUUGAGCUUCAUCAGUAUUUCUUCAGAUAAUUA